rnacentral:rRNA from 1 species
UCCAAGUCCCUUGGAACAGGAUACCGCAGAGGGUGAGAGUCCCGUAUCCGGCCGGCGUCGCGCUCCAUGUGAGGUCCCUUCGACGAGUCGAGUUGUUUGGGAAUGCAGCUCUAAGUGGGUGGUAAAUUCCAUCUAAAGCUAAAUACUGGCCAGAGACCGAUAGCGAACAAGUAGAGUGAUCGAAAGAUGAAAAGCACUUUGAAAAGAGAGUCAAACAGUACGUGAAAUUGUUGAAAGGGAAGCGCAUGGGGGCAGACUUGGCCGCGGCGUUCAGGGUGCGUUCUCGCGCCUGUACUUCGCCGCGGACAGGCCAGCAUCGGUUCUGGAGGCCGGACAAAGACGUCGAGAAUGUGGCAGUCUUCGGGCUGUGUUAUAGCUCGGCGUGCAAUGCGGCCAUCCGGGACCGAGGACCGCGCUUCGGCAAGGAUGCUGGCGUAAUGGCCUCAUGCGGCCCGUCUUGAAACACGGACCAAGGAGUCUAACAUCUAUGCGAGUGUUUGGGUGUCAAGCCCGGACGCGCAAUGAAAGUGAACGGAGGUGGGAGCCCUCGGGCGCACCAUCGACCGAUCCGGACGUCUUCUGAAGGAUUUGAGUAAGAGCAUAGCUGUUGGGACCCGAAAGAUGGUGAACUAUGCGUGAAUAGGGUGAAGCCAGAGGAAACUCUGGUGGAGGCUCGCAGCGGUUCUGACGUGCAAAUCGAUCGUCAAAUUUGCGUAUAGGGGCGAAAGACUAAUCGA